UUCAGGGGGCCGCAAGGGGCAACCGGCAGACGUAGUAGUAACACGUAGGUACGUCCCCUCUAGUCGGGCAUAGCCACCUCGAAAGGUUGGGUAAUUCCCGAUGGUCCCGAAAGGGUAAAGGUUUUUCGCUAGAGGAGCGGCCUGCGCAGUAUCAGCUAGUUGGUAGGGUAAUGGCCUACCAAGGCGACGACGCUUAGGGGAGCUGAGAGGCUGACCCCCACCGAUGGAACUGCGACACGGUCCAUACUCCUACGGGAGGCUGCAGACGAGAAUAUUCCGCAAUGGGCGAAAGCCUGACGGAGCGACGCCGCGUGAUGGAUGAAGUGCCUUGGUACGUAAACAUCUUUUAUCGGGGACGAAGUUUAUUGACGGUACCCGAUGAAUAAGGGGCUCCUAACUCUGUGCCAGCAGGAGCGGUAAUACAGAGGCCCCAAGCAUUACCCGGAAUCACUGGGCGUAAAGGGUGUCUAGGCGGCCAUAUUAGUCUCUUGUUAAAUCCGUGGGCUCAACCUGCGGCUCGCAAGGGAAACGGUAUGGCUCGAGGGCGUGAGAGGUGCACGGAACUCAUGGUGGAGGGGUGAAAUCCGUUGAUCAUCAUGGGGAACACCAAAGCGAACGCAAGUGCACUGGUUACGUUCCUGACGCCUCAAACACGAAAAGGCAAGGCUAACAAACGGGAUUCUGAAUAUCCCCCGGUACGUCCGGGCCCUCCAACGUUGGUCCCGGUCAGCGAUUAACGGGAGUAUCCGACCCUCUGUGAGGCUUACCUAAAAGGCGGGUAAGAGAGCGCCUGGGUAGUAACAACCGGAACAUUAAAAUCAAGGAU
rnacentral:rRNA from 1 species